GACGAACGCUGGCGGCGUGCUUAACACAUGCAAGUCGAACGAUGAAGCUGAAGCUUUUGUUUUGGUGGAUUAGUGGCGAACGGGUGAGUAAUACGUGAGUAACCUGCCCUUGUCUUUGGGAUAAGCCUGGGAAACUGGGUCUAAUACCGGAUAUUCUGCUUCUGCCGCAUGGGUGGGGGUUGGAAAGUAUUUUUUUGGAUGGGGAUGGGCUCACGGCCUAUCAGCUUGUUGGUGGGGUGAUGGCCUACCAAGGCGUCGACGGGUAGCCGGCCUGAGAGGGUGACCGGCCACAUUGGGACUGAGAUACGGCCCAG
rnacentral:rRNA from 1 species